GAAAGAAUUAACACCAUUUUUCACGGUAGAAAGGUAGGUAAACAGCUAAAUCAAACGAAAAAGAUUGUAAAGGCGCGUCGCGUGGCGCGAACUAAUUUUUAGUGAAUUAGUUAGAAUGUUAUAGGUUUAUUCAAUUAUUCUUCCCAAGAAAAGCAACAAUUACGAUUCAAUAGAUUUUAAUUCUCAAGUGGAAUUAAAACAGAUUAAAUAAAGUUAGAUGAUUUAGAUCAGCUUUUCAUAAACCAAUUUCCACGUUUAACAAUUGGAUGGAUAGGUAUGGAAAUUUACCGCAAUAUCCGCAUGGCCUACACUCCCAUAGUGCACGUGUGCCUACUCACCCUUCCAUUAUGGAACAUUUUGAUUUAAGGGCUAUUCAAGUUUCCUAGUAUCACAAUAUCAAGACCGAAACGCUCUGUUGGGUCCCAUGAGGAAAAUCCGGCGUUAGUAAAAGUCUUAUUACUCCCCCAAGAAUAUACGUAAAUGGGUUCUCAUACAUUAAGUCUAGCGAGUCUAGACGCUCUUUUUUUUCGAAUUUCGUGAGAUGAGUUUUUAAAAGCCAGACAGUAAAUUUUCAUCUACACUCUGUAACCCGCCUGUGUAUAUAUGUUUAGGUAUAAGAAAGAGAUAAGAUGUGGGAUGCGGAAUGGAAAAAACGAUGAUAAGAUUGUUACCUCAAAUAAUCACGAGUUGGUUUUAUUUCCUUCGUGCCAUACAGUCGCAUACAGUAUGCCAACUGAUCACCCCGCUCACAGUUCCCACUGACACCGCGCUUAGAAGGCGACUGUUAUUCAAUGGCCCAGAGCCGAAACGCAAGCGGUAAUGAGCAAACUGGGCCGGCCAGCGAUGGAAAUGCUCCAUUAACUCGAAAAGUGAUUCCACAUUUCGUAUCGUGGGUGGCUUUUGUCGCUUGUCUAUUCUACGUCUACUAUUACGAAAUAGUGUAGCAAUGGCAUUGUCUGCUGACCAUCUAGUAUCGUCGAAAAUAAAAGAAUUCAAUUUAGCUAGAAAUGAAAAUGACUAUUUCGGCCCUCAUAUUGUCGUCAGCAAUAAAAUAAAGACAGUAAAAUGAA